UAUGGUCAAGUGAAGAAGCGCAUACGGUGGAUGCCUUGGCAGUCAGAGGCGAUGAAAGACGUGGUAGCCUGCGAAAAGCUUCGGGGAGUCGGCAAACAGACUUUGAUCCGGAGAUGUCUGAAUGGGGGAACCCAGCCAUCAUAAGAUGGUUAUCUUACGCUGAAUACAUAGGCGUAAGAGGCGAACCAGGGGAACUGAAACAUCUAAGUACCCUGAGGAAAAGAAAUCAACCGAGAUUCCCUUAGUAGUGGCGAGCGAACGGGGACUAGCCCUUAAGUGGCUUUGAGAUUAGCGGAACGCUCUGGAAAGUGCGGCCAUAGUGGGUGAUAGCCCUGUACGCGAAAAUCUCUUAGUCAUGAAAUCGAGUAGGACGGAGCACGAGAAACUUUGUCUGAAUAUGGGGGGACCAUCCUCCAAGGCUAAAUACUACUGACUGACCGAUAGUGAACUAGUACCGUGAGGGAAAGGCGAAAAGAACCCCGGAGAGGGGAGUGAAAUAGAUCCUGAAACCGUAUGCGUACAAGCAGUGGGAGCCCACUUUGUUGGGUGACUGCGUACCUUUUGUAUAAUGGGUCAGCGACUUAUUUUCAGUGGCGAGCUUAACCGAAUAGGGGAGGCGUAGCGAAAGCGAGUCUUAAUAGGGCGUCUAGUCGCUGGGAAUAGACCCGAAACCGGGCGAUCUAUCCAUGGGCAGGUUGAAGGUUGGGUAACACUAACUGGAGGACCGAACCGACUACCGUUGAAAAGUUAGCGGAUGACCUGUGGAUCGGAGUGAAAGGCUAAUCAAGCUCGGAGAUAGCUGGUUCUCCUCGAAAGCUAUUUAGGUAGCGCCUCAUGUAUCACUGUAGGGGGUAGAGCACUGUUUCGGCUAGGGGGUCAUCCCGACUUACCAAACCGAUGCAAACUCCGAAUACCUACAAGUGCCGAGCAUGGGAGACACACGGCGGGUGCUAACGUCCGUCGUGAAAAGGGAAACAACCCAGACCGUCAGCUAAGGUCCCAAAGUUAUGGUUAAGUGGGAAACGAUGUGGGAAGGCUUAGACAGCUAGGAGGUUGGCUUAGAAGCAGCCACCCUUUAAAGAAAGCGUAAUAGCUCACUAGUCGAGUCGGCCUGCGCGGAAGAUGUAACGGGGCUCAAACCAUACACCGAAGCUACGGGUAUCAUCUUCGGAUGAUGCGUAGAGGAGCGUUCUGUAAGCCUGUGAAGGUGAGUUGAGAAGCUUGCUGGAGGUAUCAGAAGUGCGAAUGCUGACAUGAGUAACGACAAUGGGUGUGAAAAACACCCACGCCGAAAGACCAAGGGUUUCCUGCGCAACGUUAAUCGACGCAGGGUUAGUCGGUCCCUAAGGCGAGGCUGAAAAGCGUAGUCGAUGGAAAACAGGUUAAUAUUCCUGUACUUCUGGUUAUUGCGAUGGAGGGACGGAGAAGGCUAGGCCAGCUUGGCGUUGGUUGUCCAAGUUUAAGGUGGUAGGCUGGAAUCUUAGGUAAAUCCGGGAUUCUAAGGCCGAGAGCUGAUGACGAGUUACUCUUUGAGUGACGAAGUGGUUGAUGCCAUGCUUCCAAGAAAAGCUUCUAAGCUUCAGGUAACCAGGAACCGUACCCCAAACCGACACAGGUGGUUGGGUAGAGAAUACCAAGGCGCUUGAGAGAACUCGGGUGAAGGAACUAGGCAAAAUGGCACCGUAACUUCGGGAGAAGGUGCGCCGGUGAGGGUGAAGGACUUGCUCCGUAAGCUCAUGCCGGUCGAAGAUACCAGGCCGCUGCGACUGUUUAUUAAAAACACAGCACUCUGCAAACACGAAAGUGGACGUAUAGGGUGUGACGCCUGCCCGGUGCCGGAAGGUUAAUUGAUGGGGUUAGCUAACGCGAAGCUCUUGAUCGAAGCCCCGGUAAACGGCGGCCGUAACUAUAACGGUCCUAAGGUAGCGAAAUUCCUUGUCGGGUAAGUUCCGACCUGCACGAAUGGCGUAACGAUGGCGGCGCUGUCUCCACCCGAGACUCAGUGAAAUUGAAAUCGCUGUGAAGAUGCAGUGUAUCCGCGGCUAGACGGAAAGACCCCGUGAACCUUUACUAUAGCUUUGCACUGGACUUUGAAUUUGCUUGUGUAGGAUAGGUGGGAGGCUUUGAAGCGUGGACGCCAGUCUGCGUGGAGCCAACCUUGAAAUACCACCCUGGCAACUUUGAGGUUCUAACUCAGGUCCGUUAUCCGGAUCGAGGACAGUGUAUGGUGGGUAGUUUGACUGGGGCGGUCUCCUCCUAAAGAGUAACGGAGGAGUACGAAGGUGCGCUCAGACCGGUCGGAAAUCGGUCGUAGAGUAUAAAGGCAAAAGCGCGCUUGACUGCGAGACAGACACGUCGAGCAGGUACGAAAGUAGGUCUUAGUGAUCCGGUGGUUCUGUAUGGAAGGGCCAUCGCUCAACGGAUAAAAGGUACUCCGGGGAUAACAGGCUGAUACCGCCCAAGAGUUCAUAUCGACGGCGGUGUUUGGCACCUCGAUGUCGGCUCAUCACAUCCUGGGGCUGAAGCCGGUCCCAAGGGUAUGGCUGUUCGCCAUUUAAAGUGGUACGCGAGCUGGGUUUAGAACGUCGUGAGACAGUUCGGUCCCUAUCUGCCGUGGACGUUUGAGAUUUGAGAGGGGCUGCUCCUAGUACGAGAGGACCGGAGUGGAC
rnacentral:rRNA from 1 species